rnacentral:rRNA from 1 species
UACGUAGGGUGCGAGCGUUAAUCGGAAUUAUUGGGCGUAAAGAGCUCGUAGGCGGUUUGUCGCGUCUGCUGUGAAAACCUAAGGCUCAACCUUGGGCUUGCAGUGGGUACGGGCAGACUAGAGUGCGGUAGGGGUGACUGGAAUUCCUGGUGUAGCGGUGGAAUGCGCAGAUAUCAGGAGGAACACCGGUGGCGAAGGCGGAUCUCUGGGCCAUUACUGACGCUGAGGAGCGAAAGCGUGGGGAGCGAACAGG